UUUUAGAGUGGGGCUAUGUGUACGGCUGUAAAAUCGUCGAACAACGUCCUGGUGGCCUUUUCCUCUCGCGGGUAAUCCCCGUAGAUUGGCACCGAUGCAAUAAUUCGUCGCGUAUCGGCCUCAUGGUGAAGCACGAAUGGGGGAAGAGUGUUAAACGACCGAUAUUUCGUUUUUUUCUCGAGGAAACGCCAGUCUCGAUUUGUUACACGUCUCACCUGUCGUGUAUCCUAUCUUGCGGCUAUCGUGCAGUCGCUCUGAACGGUCUCCUUGCCCACCGCCGUCUUUAUGCAUCGUUAAAACAGCCAGCCGCGCCGCGGCAGUAGUAAAACUGCAGUAAAUCGACGUAUCGUCGCGACGACGGUCCCCAAACACGGUACGAGCUAAACGAGAAACAGAAAAAUGAGGGGAAUCGUUGGAGCUCGAUAGCCAAGUGCCAAACACAAAAUUAAUGGCGCCUGCGCUAUGGACAUAUUGAAAGACACCGUUAAGUUAUGUGGCUGGGCCAAACACAGUGAUUGCAUUUUUGGGAAGUUUGUAUGCAGAAGAGUUAUUCUAUUUUUAACGUGCACGACGAAUGGGGAUUCCUUACGGAUGCAUCUAAAUUUCAGGACUGAGAUUUAAAAAUAUGGGAUUUGAUUACAAUUGUAUUUUCGUUUGAUGUUUUGUCUCCUGAGUGAUAUCGAGAAAGUCCGUUCGUCUUUGAAGACAUUAUAAGAAAAUUUAUGUGAAAUUAUCUCGCGUAUCUGUAAAAUUAUUAGCUAUUGUCUUCGCCAUGUCGUACUAAUUUCACCGUGUUGCUAUUACAAUCCGCGUUCUUCUAUUCAUUUGAAGCAGGAAAAUCUAAGAAAACCUGAACUUUUACGAAUUCUGUUAUCAACCCUCCUAAAAUAAUAUAUGUGAAUAGAAUUUGAUAAAAUAACAGAUCUAGAUAAAAGAAACAUUGACUCCUUCAUACAUUUUUCAUUUGAUACAAACUACUGUAGCUUGUGAUCUGGUGGAGUCUAUAGCAUAACGCUUCGUUCAUAUGCGUGUCAAAUUUAAUCUUUAUUGGUCAAUACAAUUCUGAGAUAUGAAACACAUAUUUGAAAUUCCAAAUUUCAGAAUAGUACACAGGAUAGGACAAUGAUUUUGUCCACCUUGAAUAUCUCUGUUAUUUAUAGUCCUAUGAAUACACUCUUCAGGACAAAGUUGCACUAUUUUAAGGGAUCCAGGCACCUCCCUUGCAGCUUAGGCGAACGCGUGUUUUUAGUAGGUAGACCUUGGGAAUUGGGAUGCGGACGAUAAGCUAUCGGUGACCGCUCCCUUAGGAUAGCUCCACAUAACCCGGGUUCCCCCAGAGAACACGAGUAUGCGUAAUGCAUUUUCACUCGAGGAAAAAGGAUACUUAUAAUGAUAUGACAUUAUUUUUUGUAGGAUCAUUUUUUCAUGAGAUUUCAAAGUCGUUAAUAUUUUAAUUAAUGGAAUGCCACUUUUUUAGACCUUCAUGAAAUAGCCACUAUUAAGUCGAUUUCAAAAUUAUAUGGUAUUGUACAUAUAUAUGUACAGGUAAAAGAAAAAAUCGAUUCCUCCAGCCCUUCAAAUGAAACCAUCCCCCUGACGAAGGUGCUAGUGCAUAUAAGAUUAAAAAAAAUGGUCGAUUGCUCUUCGAUUGACUCUUCGUAUAAGACCUAUAUUUAAUAAGGAGCCUAAUGUCCCACACAACUUAAUAUAGUUCUUUGUUCGAUUAUGAAUAUUUGUAAAAGCUCUUCCUCCCUUAUUAACGCGAGAAAAUAAAUGAUAUCUUAUUAGCCAUCGAAAAAGAAAGAGUUACCUCCUCCUAGGCAAUUAUAACUAUAUUUACUAACGCGAAAUUAUACUAAAUCCGAAAUGAUACAUUUAAAAAAUUAGUUACGAGACGUUCCAUGAAAAUGUCCGAUUGAAAAGGAUUCUCCAAGUAUCGAGUCGCUAGCAGAAAUUAAUACUUCAAACAGAAUCUUUCGUCCGUUAGAAGAACAUGACGUAACGAAGGAAAAGAUUCCCUCUGCAAGGAGAGCUAGACACCAACGACUUAAUUAAGAUCCACCGUCGCUGAUCCUCCUGCGAAAUUCUCGCCGUCCAUUCUUCCGGAAGACGUGACAGAGACGAGCAAGAAACGGGGAGGCAAACACGGAAUAGCCAUGAACGCAGGAAGGCCGGAAGGUGCUGCGAGGUAGCGUAAACAAUUCCCAGCACAAUUAGGAAACGUUUGUCCGUCUGUGUUUAUCGAAGGAUCCGUAACUAGCUUAGGUAACACCUAUCCAUUUGUUACUCGGCAACGGUGCCCCGAAUCGGUCAUGCGAACAAUUCACGGGGUUACCCUGGAGCUCCUGGUACUUGGCCCUUGGAGCACGUUACGUAAUCACGGACUAGAUAUAGCAUGUACAGAAGAGUCAAUCCAGCUUUCUGUCCGAUUACUCGAGGGCUCUAGAGUCUUCUUUGAUUCGGAAUCAAAUAAGAUUAAUAUUUCUAACGUAAAUCGCAUUGGAUCUGGGCAUUAUAAUCUUGCUGCCUCUCUUACCCGCAUUAAGAUAAUAAGCGACCCUAAAUGUAAAUGCAGCUAUGAAAUCGAAGGCAUCAAUCAUGUGAUUUGGCAAUGCAGGCUCUACGAUAGCUCAAGGAUCAAGCUAAUUAAGAAGCUUCAAAAGAAGAAACAGUGUCUCUCACUUAAUGUUGAACCGCUUGUCGCGAAACCUAAUAUUGCAGCUUGUCUAUGUAUUUUUGAUUUCUUAAAAGAAUGUAAACUGCGGAUAUAAUGUACACGUAAACUGUAUUAUACAUACUACUGUAUAUAUAAACCUUAUCUGAGGUUCUUAAAUAAUAAAAAAAAAAAAAUCCUGUUUGGCUUAGAAUAUAUUCUGGUAGUAAACAAAUGAAUAGUGUAUUCGUACUAUCUUCUUGAUGUUCAUACAUGCAAUUAAGGGGUGACAUCACUGUAACAGACUAAACAAAAAAAGGUGUUUCUUUGUCAAUUUUGGUUGGAUGGAAGAAAUGGUAAUAGAUUAAUAAAAUUCGAGGAAGUGAUUCAGCAUAUAUUUAAGUAUUAAACAAAAAAUUAUAAUCGACAAAUAUUAGAAAAUGGCUCUCGCUCUCGCGAGGCUUAUUGAAUUUGAGGCACUCCAGUUGGCUCCGUUUGAACCUCUUUAGACCUGACCUCUUGUAAACAGAGAACAAAAAUUAUUUUGCUAUGGAUACAUAUUAAGUGAAGGAGAAAUAACACAUUUAUUUUAACUAAAAUUUAUCUACGACAAUGUUUACAAAAUAAAAAGAAAAAUGUACAUUCAAUGGCACAAUUUUCUUCUUAUGUAUUUUGGUUUGCUAAACUCGAAAACUGCAAUGAAAAAUUUUUCUAUAGAUAGGUUUUUUUUAUAUAAAUUUUUGAAUUAUUUUUCGAUUUUUUUUCGAGAUACCUUCACAUUUUAGGCCAUAUAUCUCUAGUUAGAAACGUCCGAUUGGGUCGCGCAAGAUGCCAUAUAAAAAAAGGUAGUCGAUUUUCCAAAAAUUGUUUUUCACAUUGUUUUCCAAUCGGUUCAAUAGUUUAAGUGUCACGGGCCAAAAAAUAUGAGAAAUUUCGAUUUUUUCGGCUAAAAUCGAACACAACAAUUUCUUCCAUCGUCAUGCAAAAAUAGAAACUGUUAAAUUAUGUCCAGUUUUUUUAUUGUUUACGUAUAGAUCGCUCUUUUACGAAGAAAACAAGCUUGUGUUGAGGAAAAUCUAUGGAUAAAUACCGGAGUUGGGAACAAUUGACUAAAGGUACAAAAAUUCCAAUUUUACUCUGUUUUUGUAUUUU